UCUACGGGCGGCAGCAGUGAGGAAUAUUGGUCAAUGGUCGGGAGACUGAACCAGCCAAGCCGCGUGAGGGAUGAAGGUACAGAGUAUCGUAAACCUCUUUUGUCAGGGAACAAAGGCGGGGACGUGUCCCCGGCUGAGUGUACCUGAAGAAAAAGCAUCGGCUAACUCCGUGCCAGCAGCCGCGGUAAUACGGAGGAUGCGAGCGUUAUCCGGAUUUAUUGGGUUGAAAGGGUGCGCGGGCGGUCUGUUAAGUCAGCGGUAAAAGCCCGGGGCUCAACCCCGGACCGCCGUUGAAACUGGCAGUCUCGAGUGGGAGAGAAGUAUGCGGAAUGCGCGGUGUAGCGGUGAAAUGCAUAGAUAUCGCGCAGAACUCCGAUUGCGAAGGCAGCAUGCCGGCUCCACACUGACGCUGAGGCACGAAAGCGUGGGUAUCGAACAGGAUUAGAUACCCCUGUAGUC
rnacentral:rRNA from 1 species